UACAGAGGGGGCAAGCGUUAUUCGGAAUCAUUGGGCGUAAAGGGCGCGUAGGUGGCCCGGUCAGUUCGUGGUGAAAGCGCGGGGCUCAACCCUGCGUCGGCCAUGAAUACUGCCGCGGCUGGAGCACUGUAGAGGCAGGCGGAAUUCCGGGUGUAGCGGUGGAAUGCGUAGAGAUCCGGAAGAACACCGGUGGCGAAGGCGGCCUGCUGGGCAGUUGCUGACACUGAGGCGCGACAGCGUGGGGAGCAAACAGG
rnacentral:rRNA from 1 species